AGAGUUUGAUCCUGGCUCAGGAUGGACGCUGGCGGCGUGCUUAAUACAUGCAAGUCGAACGGAGAACCUUUGUAGCAAUACGAGGGUUUCUUAGUGGCGAACGGGUGCGUAACGCGUUGGUGACCUGCCCCGAAGUGUGGGAUAACAGUUCGAAAGGAUUGCUAAUACCGCAUGUGGUUUUCCGGAUCAGAUGCCGGAUCUCUAAAGCAGUAAUGCGUUUCGGGAGGGACCUGCGUCCCAUCAGCUAGUUGGUGAGGUAACGGCCCACCAAGGCUACGACGGGUAGGGGACCUGAGAGGGUGGUCCCCCACACUGGCACUGAAACACGGGCCAGACACCUACAGGUGGCAGCAGUAGGGAAUAUUGGGCAAUGGGCGAAAGCCUGACCCAGCAACGCCGCGUGCAUGAUGAAGGUCUUCGGAUCGUAAAAUGCUUUUCUGAGAGAUGAGAAAGGACAGUAUCUCAGGAAUAGUCUCGGCUAACUACGUGCCAGCAGCCGCGGUAACACGUAGGAGGCAAGCGUUAUCCGGAUUUACUGGGUGUAAAGCGCGUGCAGGCGGUUCGGUAAGUUGGAUGUGAAAGCUCCUGGCUCAACUGGGAGAGGUCGUUCAAAACUGCCGGACUCGAGGACAGUAGAGGGAGAUGGAAUUCCCGGUGUAGUGGUGAAAUGCGUAGAUAUCGGGAGGAACACCAGUGGCGAAAGCGGUCUCCUGGACUGUCUCUGACGCUCAGACGCGAAAGCUAGGGUAGCAAACGGGAUUAGAGACCCCGGUAGUCCUAGCUGUAAACGAUGUGAACUUGGCGUUGGUGGUGUAAAAACCAUCAGUGCCGAAGCUAACGCGAUAAGUUCACCACCUGGGGACUACGACCGCAAGGUUAAAACUCAAAGGAAUUGACGGGUCCCCGCACAAGCAGCGGAGCGUGUGGUUUAAUUCGAUAUUACACGAAGAACCUUACCCAGGUUUGACAUGCAGGUAGUAGGGAAGCGAAAGCAGACCGACCCGCAAGGGAGCCUGCACAGGUGUUGCAUGGCUGUCGUCAGCUCGUGUCGUGAGAUGUUCGGUUAAGUCCGCCAACGAGCGCAACCCUUGUCGUAUGUUACAUGUGUCAUACGAGACCGCCGGUAUCAAGCCGGAGGAAGGUGGGGAUGAAGUCAAGUCAGCGUGGCCUUUAUACCUGGGGCUACACACACGCUACAAUGGCCGGUACAAUGGGCUGCUAAGCCGCGAGGUAGAGCCAAUCCCCAAAACCGGCCUCAGUUCAGAUCACAGGCUGCAACUCGCCUGUGUGAAGUUGGAGUUGCUAGUAAACGCGCGUCAGCUAUAGUGCGUUGAAUACGUUCCCGGGGAUUGUACACACCGCCCGUCACGUCAUGGGAGCUGGCAACUCCUGAAGCCGGUAGCCUAACCGCAAGGAGGGCGCCGUCGAGGGUGGGGCUGGUGACUGGGACGAAGUCGUAACAAGGUA
rnacentral:rRNA from 1 species